rnacentral:rRNA from 1 species
UACGAAGGGGGCUAGCGUUGUUCGGAAUUACUGGGCGUAAAGCGCACGUAGGCGGAUUUGUAAGUCAGGGGUGAAAUCCCGGGGCUCAACCUCGGAACUGCCUUUGAUACUGCAAGUCUUGAGUCCGGAAGAGGUGAGUGGAAUUCCUAGUGUAGAGGUGAAAUUCGUAGAUAUUAGGAAGAACACCAGUGGCGAAGGCGGCUCACUGGUCCGGUACUGACGCUGAGGCGCGAAAGCUAGGGGAGCAAACGGG